rnacentral:pre_miRNA from 1 species
UGACUACUCCCUCCGUUCAGAAUUACUUGUCUUGGAAAUGGAUGUAUCUAGAACUAAAAUACAUCUAGAUACAUCCAUUUCUGCGACAAGUAAUUCCGAACGGAGGGAGUAUGUA